GUUAUCAUAUUUAAUACCUCUAUCAUGAAGAUGCUGACUGCGUUUCUGCAUGUGUGUCUCAUCAUUGCUGUGACACAAAGUCAUCCUCUUUUUGAGGAAAUUGGGUCAGGUGACUCAAGUAAUGCAGGUGUUGGUUCGCCAGGAGCAACGGGAGACCCACCAUUUGCAACAGAUGUUCCAGAUGAAACAACAACUGUGAUAGCUGACUCAACUACUCAAGAGAGAAUCUAUUAUGACUCAGAGGAAGAUCUAGGAUUUCUGAGAGACAAACCAACUGUGAUAGCUGACUCAACUAAUGAUGAUGGAUACUUUUAUGACUCAGAUGAAGAACUAGGACAUCCGAGAGUUUGGAGAGGCAGGUCUGAUGAUUCAUCUAAUGGAGAUGGAGAAAAUUCUGACACAUCGGAAGAUGCACCAGAUGCAGCAGAGGAAACAGGCGGGUCUGAUGAUUCAUCUAAUGGAGGUGGAGAAAGUUCUGACACAUCAGAAGAUGCACCAGAUGCAGCAGAGGAAACAGGCGGGUCUGAUGAUUCAUCUAAUGGAGGUGGAGAAAGUUCUGACACAUCAGAAGAUGCCCCAGUUGCAGCAGGUUUGUAUAUUUAUUGGAAUGCAUCUUAUCUCAGCCUUACUUUUGUUUUACUAUUCCAAAAACUGUAA
rnacentral:lncRNA from 1 species